rnacentral:rRNA from 1 species
UACGUAGGGAGCGAGCGUUGUCCGGAAUUACUGGGCGUAAAGGGCGCGUAGGCGGCGCUUCAAGUCGUCUGUCAAAUGGAAGGGCUUAACCCUUUUUCGCAGACGAAACUGGAGAGCUUGAGAAGCAGAGAGGCAAACAGAAUUCCUGGUGUAGCGGUGAAAUGCGUAGAUAUCAGGAAGAAUACCAGUGGCGAAGGCGGUUUGCUGGCUGCAUACUGACGCUGAAGCGCGAAAGCCAGGGGAGCGAACG